rnacentral:rRNA from 1 species
UGGCGGCGUGCCUAACACAUGCAAGUCGAACGAGAAAGUGGAGCAAUCCAUGAGUAAAGUGGCGACCGGGUGAGUAACACGUGACUAACCUACCUCCGAGUGGGGAAUAACUCCGGGAAACCGGGGCUAAUACCGCAUAACAUCGCAAGAUCAAAGCAGCAAUGCGCUUGGAGAGGGGGUCGCGGCUGAUUAGCUAGUUGGCGGGGUAACGGCCCACCAAGGCGAAGAUCGGUAUCCGGCCUGAGAGGGCGCACGGACACACUGGAACUGAAACACGGUCCAGACUCCUACGGGAGGCAGCAGUGGGGAAUUUUGCGCAAUGGGGGAAACCCUGACGCAGCAACGCCGCGUGGAGGAUGAAGCCCUUUGGGGCGUAAACUCCUUUCGACUCGGACGAUAAUGACGGUACGAGUGGAAGAAGCACCGGCUAACUCUGUGCCAGCAGCCGCGGUAAUACAGAGGGUGCAAGCGUUGUUCGGAAUUAUUGGGCGUAAAGGGCGCGUAGGCGGUGCGGUAAGUCACCUGUGAAAUCUCCUGNCUUAACUGGGAGUCUG